UGAGAGAAUACAUCAAAUUUUUUUCUCCCAUCCUUCUUUGGAUGAUGUGGAUGUUAGAAACAUCCUAGCUGCAGAGCAACGAAAAAUUUUGUCUGGUUGUAGAAUAGUAUUUAGCAGGGUCUUCCCAGUUGGCGAAGCCAAUCCUCACCUGCAUCCAUUAUGGCAGACAGCUGAACAAUUUGGUGCCGUGUGUACGAACCAAAUAGACGAGCAUGUUACUCAUGUAGUAGCCAAUUCACUGGGGACUGAUAAGGUGAAUUGGGCUCUAUCCACAGGAAGAUUUGUUGUUAAUCCUGGCUGGGUGGAAGCAUCAGCACUGCUUUAUCGGAGGGCAAAUGAGCAAGAUUUUUCCAUCAAACCAUAAACAAAUUAUUACACAAAAUCCUUGUGUUUAAAAUUAAUGAUUGGUUAAAAAGACUAAACCAGGGAUCACAGAAAAGUGGGAAUCAGCACCUCAUGCUAUGCUGGGUGAGCUUGAAAGGUUUACUGGGUAAAGUGGUAGUGACCAGUUUUUGCACCGAGUUUGCACAAGCUGAAGUCUAAAUUAGCUUGGUUUUUAGUUGGGCUCUGGGAGCUUUAGAAAUAUUAACUGCUGGGGAAUGGCCCUUUUUCUGUUAUGCUGGGGGAAAAUGGCCUUGUUGAGAAGGGUUGGACAAAGCGCAACGAGGGCAGCCAAGCCGAAUUUACCCCUUUGCAAUUUACCAAAUCGGCUAAUUAAAUUCACGCUCGGGUAAGAGAAGUGGAUUUUGGAAACUCAUCUAUUCCAAAAGCACAGAUGAGUUGGAAGAUUCCUUAAUUAUGAUUAUGAACCAAUUAGGAUCAGUGUCUUUCAACUCGCCUGUGCUUGGAUGCACCUUAUAAUUUUGAGUAAUUAUAAACGGAAUGCUACAACGUGAAAAAA